rnacentral:rRNA from 1 species
AACGAACGCUGGCGGCAUGCCUAACACAUGCAGGUCGAACGAGACCUUCGGGUCUAGUGGCGCACGGGUGCGUAACGCGUGGGAACCUGCCCUUAGGUUCGGAAUAACUCCCCGAAAGGGGUGCUAAUACCGGAUAAUGUCUUCGGACCAAAGAUUUAUCGCCUUUGGAUGGGCCCGCGUUGGAUUAGCUAGUUGGUAGGGUAAAAGCCUACCAAGGCGACGAUCCAUAGCUGGUCUGAGAGGAUGAUCAGCCACACUGGGACUGAGACACGGCCCAGACGCCUACGGGAGGCAGCAGUGGGGAAUAUUGGACAAUGGGCGAAAGCCUGAUCCAGCAAUGCCGCGUGAGUGAUGAAGGCCUUAGGGUUGUAAAGCUCUUUUACCCGGGAUGAUAAUGACAGUACCGGGAGAAUAAGCUCCGGCUAACUCCGUG